UCAAUCAAUAUUUUUGGUCUACUUGAAAUAUUUAGAAUUCAUGUAUUUUGUAUUUGUUGUAUUGUCAUACUUUUGAAUUGACCCAAGCAUGACAUGCCUUAAAAAAGCAUGGACACUACUUUGAAUGGCGUGGUGUCCAAAUUGGCAGCCCAUUGUGAUAAGUACAAAUAGGGAUAAGACCCUCAAACCCCAAAAAAAAAUUACUCACGUUCAUCAUCCUCUUUGAAUCUUCUCAAGUACUGUCUGUAACAAGCAGGUGCUUAUCUAAAAAAUAAGAGCAUUAAAGAAGUUAACUCAACCUGAAUGGAAGAAAGAAGCAAAGUGGAAGCAAAUUGAAGCAAAGUAUGGAAAUUCAGCAUGUUCGAUCGAUCUCAGCAAUUCUCAGAUCGAUCGAAAGUUCAUCGAUCUAAACAAUUCAAGAUGGAUCCAAACCUUUGUCCUUAUCCAAAAGAAUCCAACAAGUUUGAUCGAUCGAACAUUUCCCAUAUCGAUCGAAAUGAUUUGAUCUUAUCCAUACCUACCACCCACCUACCACUUUUGUCUUUUUCCCAAAAAUAUCUCAGAGAUUUGUCUUUAUUCAAAAAGGCGCAGCCAAAGAUGAUCGAUCUCUGCAGCAUUCGAUGGAUCUCAGCCAUGUUCGAUUGAUCUCAACACAGUUCGAUCGAUCAAACUUCCUCAAGUCCAAAAAAAAAAAAUAGAUUCCAGCUUAUUAAAAGUUGGCUCAUGGUGCAAUCAUUGGAGGGACAUUGGUGUACGAGCCCAGACCAUUGGGUGACAUUUUGACCUACCUAUAUAAGGAUUGAGAGCCACUUUUAGAGCAUAGUUGUUAUUCAUAACUUGUAAUUUUCUUAUCUUGGAGAGGAGGCUAAAGAUUAUAGAGCUUUUACACAUUUUGGGAGUUCUUCCAUUCUUCUAGGGUUUCCAUCAAGAAGGAGGUCAUUCCUACCAUGGAGAUAACCCUUGAGGGUUGGAUGACUACUUUAAUGAGUGGCUAGACAUCUACUUAGGCCUAGAGUAGCCCUUAAGUUUGCUUCCUAGACUUAGUUCUUUGAUCUUAGAUUUAUAUGUAUAUCUUGCGGUUUCUACUUGAUGUGUAUGGAUUAAUGCUUUCAAUUGAUUAUCUACUUCUAACCA